rnacentral:rRNA from 1 species
UACGAAGGGGGCUAGCGUUGUUCGGAAUUACUGGGCGUAAAGCGCACGUAGGCGGAUCGAUCAGUCAGGGGUGAAAUCCCAGGGCUCAACCCUGGAACUGCCUUUGAUACUGUCGAUCUGGAGUAUGGAAGAGGUGAGUGGAAUUCCGAGUGUAGAGGUGAAAUUCGUAGAUAUUCGGAGGAACACCAGUGGCGAAGGCGGCUCCCUGGUCCAUUACUGACGCUGAGGUGCGAAAGCGUGGGGAGCAAACAGG